GUGCUCGCUUCAGCAACACAUACUAAUACAGAACAACAGAGAAGACUAGCAUGGUCCCUGUGCGAGGAUGACACACAAAUUUAUGAAAUGUUUCAUAUUUUU